GGCAGUAUAGCUCAGUUGGUAGAGCGAAGGUGUGCAUACGUGAUGAUACGUGUCGCAGGUCUUUUGUCACAAGUUCGAGUCUUGUUGCUGCCCCA
rnacentral:tRNA from 1 species